CUUUGUUGUUCUUUGUCUUAUUCUCUUGUUGUGGUUUUUCCCUGCUUGGGUUUUACUGUCCCUGUCUCUCUUGUUUGUAUCUCCUGUCUCUUGGUGGUGGGCAUUUCCCUCUCCCUGGCCACACCCUCAUUCUGGUGAGUUCCA